rnacentral:rRNA from 1 species
CCCGGUGGCAAUAGCGGAGGGGCCACACCUCUUCCAUUCCGAACAGAGAAGUUAAGCCCUCUAGCGCUGAUGGUACUGUCCUGGAGACGGGGCGGGAGAGUAAGGCACUGCCGGGA